UCACUGUGAUGAUGGUUUUUCCUGCCAUUCGUAGUUUCCACCAGAGGUCGAAAGACCAAAGAUGGCCCAAAUCCUUCCUUGGAUGUCUGAGUGG